CCAAGAUCGCUGCCAGUAAAUAGAUGUGGUGGACACACGCUAGGGUGACCCCACCCCAAUACCAACCAGUGAUGCUUCUGAGGAAUCCUCUCCCCCGAGCGUGGGCAGGACCUAUGCUUGUUUUUUGCCAGUGGAAUAUGGCAAAGGUGAUGAGAUGUCACUCCCAUGAUCACAUAUGGCAAAGGUGAAGGGAUUCUGCAGAUGUAACUAAGAUCCUUAAUCAGUUUGACUUUGAGUUAAUCAAAAGGGAGAUUAUCCUGGGUGGGUCUGACCUCAUCAAGUGAGUUCUUUAUAAGAGCAGAGAUGUUUCCCCAGGAUCAGAGACUUCAAGCAGCAGAGAUUCCCUCUUUCCUGCUGGUCUUGAAGAAACAAGUUCUACAGUCACAAGGAGAUGAAUUCCACCAAGAACCAUGCGAGCUUAGGAAAGGAUCCCAAGUCUAGACGGGACUGCAGACCUGGACAGCACUUUCACUGCUGCCUUGUGAGACCCUGAGCCAAGGACCCGGCUAAGCCAUGCCCAGACUCCUGGCCCCUGAAAGCUGUGAGAUAACAUACGGGUGGUGUUAAGCCGCCAAGUCUGUGGUAAUUUGUUACACAGAAUGGACAACUAUCACAGAAGAGGAGCAGAGAUUCCCACCCAGUGUGACUCCAGGAACUGUGUGACAAGUGCUGGUUACCAGGUUCUUUUGGACACCAAAGGAGAGAGGUGGAUGAUUUCAGACCCUCCACUAUCUAUCCCCCAUUGCGGGGCCACAGAAACUCUCCAUCCCCACCACGGCCCCUGCUUUGUACUUGUGCUUUCUUUUUGCUGCUGCAGACCCCUUACUGCCUGAUACCCCACAUUUAGUCCCAGUCCUUUGCUGCAUCAGGAGCAGUCUUGGGAUAAGAGCUUUAGAUGACUUCAUAUGCUGUAAGGAGGGAGCAAGGACAUAAAAAUGGAAGAGGGAAAUCUCAGAUUCCACAUAUUUCUGUACCCUCCCUUGCCCCCUCUCUCCAGACCUGGUCCAGGAUCCUCCAACCCCACAUCUGCUUCCCAACCUUUUUCUUACAGCCAGGCUUCCUGCUCUAAGUCUUUUAAUAAAAUGCCCCAAAGAAUGGUGCUUUUCUCUGGAUGUGGCUGAAUUGCAUUCUUAAACCUUGGUGUAUUCCAGAGACCAGCCCUUUCCAUAUGGAGGACCUAACUGAAAGAGGAGAGAAAGGUGGGGGAAGGAAAGACAGCACUUUCUUUAUUGAAAAGUGAGAUCAUGAAUUCCACCCUGGGAUAAAAGUAAUAAGAGGGCUGGGCAAGAGAUGAUCACAAACAGUGUUGAACCCUGGUAAUUUGUGUCAAAUGUCUUUAAAUGACCACAUUAUCUGAUUCAGUCAUUUCACUCCUGGGGAUUAAGUCUAAAUAAACAAUGGGAAGACAAAUAAGAUCUAAACAAAUAGUGAUAUACAAUGUUCAUAGAAGUCUCAAUAUGGUAAAGAUAUGAAAUCAUCCCCAUUUCAUAGAUGAAUAAACUGAGGCAUAGAGAGAUUACAUAAACUGUCUAAGGUGAUAUAGCAAGUAAGAGGUGAAACCAUGAUUCAGAACUAAGCAGUUUGGGCCCAGAGCCCAUGCUCUUAACCACCCUGCUGUCUUGCCCAUCCCCUGUGCUCCCGCUGUUCCACUGCAUUUUCCUCGCUGCGUGUCUAUUUCUUGCACUAGGAAGAGCAGGAACCACAUCUGGUUCACCUUGGAACCUCCAAGUCCCUGGUGUGUAGGGAAGAGUCAAAAUACAUUUACUGAACUCAACAGGAUGGUUUAUUGCCCGACCUCUCUCUCCCAUCAUAAGAACUUCCCGUUUUCAGUUCCUCCCAUUAUCCAAAUGGAUAUGGAGGUCUUGGGCCAGGAACAAAGCUCCGAACAGCUGGAUUUAGAGGAGAUCUCAAGGAAAAUUUCAUUCCUUGACAAAUGGAGGGAAAUCUUUAGUUAUCACAGGUAAGGUGUUCUCAUUCUCUCAUUUCUUUAGAAACAAAGGAAUUUUCCGUGUUUAAGUAAUCAACUUAUAAGCUUGCAACAUGAGAAAUUUCCUUUAUAGAUUUACCUUUAAAAUGCUUCAGGCAUAACUAUUCGUGGACAGAGACUUCCCUAGCAAGGUUGGGGUUUGGGAGGUUUGUGGAUGUGAGGUUUGAAGAGAGUGAGUAAUUUACUUGAUGUUUUCUCUUUCAUUUAAAGGUUGGGAACCAAUAAUUCAACUCCUCAGGUAAUUACUUUUCCCAAAGCCAGUGUGUUCUCCUUUAGUUGCUUCUUCAAACAAUCACAUUAACAGCAUAAUCUGCAUUUAUUCUUUGCACAUAAUGUCACUCAGGCACUGGCAUUUAACGCGUGAAAACAUAAAACUAGAAAGCCUGUCGAAGAUUUUUUUCUUGUGCUUUUUUAUGGAUUUCUCUUUCUACUUCUAAGAGCUAUGUUUGUAUCAUUAAGAGCAUCAUAUGGUUAUUAUUUUAGGAAAAAAGGUAAUAUUAAAAUCGAAAGUUCCCACAUUUGUGAAAUAACACUGGAUUCUGACAACCAAGUGCUUCUGUGUCCCUGAAGAAAAGCAGUUUUGAAAAUAGUUAUCGUCUUUAUUCAGCUUGUGAAAAAUCAUUUUCCUUUACCAUUUUAAAAUAAGAGAAAGAUGACUGAAUUCUGGUGCUAAAAAGGUAUUUUAAAAUCUGAUAUACAAUAUAAGAUGAAAGAUGUUUGUACCUCAUGUAAACUGAAAAGGUUAGAAGGUAAUGGACUUUGUAUUUCAGGUAUUACUUCAAUCACUGAGCAAACACAGCAUAAAAUAUUAAGGUGGUUUUCAUGGUACUAGUAUAUAUGAUCAAGCAAUUGAAUCAUUAAUAUUUUAACUAUAAUGCUAAAGCUUCUCGCCCCAAGUAGCCUAUGAUCAAAAGUCUUAUUUAUGCUAAAACUCUCUUAACCACAGUCUAAAUUAGAAUCAGAGCAAUAAUGCUUCUAUUUUAGUCUUGGAAGUAUUAAAUGGAGAUAUCUAUCAUUUGGGGGGAUAGAACAUUCAAAAGAUAAAACAAUCUUUAAAAGAAAAAAAAGUCAAGUUAUGCUUUACACACGGUGGGAAAAACCCAUUGGCACAAAUGUAAAGAUUUUCCAUUUGAUUUACAAAAUGCAUCUUAGCUGAUCAGUAGUCCGUGAUUUGAAUGCUGUGCUUCUGAGAUAAGAAAGAAUCUUUGCCUCUAGGAAUACAGAAAAACUAAGAAGGUGGUUUCCCUCAUGUUUCAGCCACCAAUAGGACAGAUUUGUUGCACAACAUUAGUAUAUAAGCUAAGUAAAUUUGAAGAAGAGCUGAUGCUAACUUACAGUGACAUGUCAUGAGAAUCAGUCAAGAAAAGCGAAAAGAAAUUUUUUUAAAGGUAGACGGUGGAUUUUUUUUAAGGAAAAAGAACGAUUAUACUCACUUGUUGGGGAGUAGGAAUCUGAAAGAAUUAAAAAGAGAUAAUCUGACUUCAUUUAUUGGCCAGUUAACAAUGUAAUGAGAAACACUUUGUGUAAACUGGAAAGAUUCGUUCAAAGUUUAUAAAAUGUUGUCUUCUCAAAACAAGAGACAGUGACAUUUACAUUCUUCUCUAAACAUAAUUUCAAGUCAAGGUCUUGAUGGCAUUAAUUAUGUUUCCAUAGUUACAUUUAACCUCUCCAAGUCAUAUAAACCCUUAUGAGAAACCCCUUUGACACAGACACUGGGAUUUUUCUGCCUCUUUUAUUGCUAUUUAUCACAAUUUUCAGACGUCUUUAAAAGUGAGACAACAUUUUCUGAACACUGGUAUUUCAGAGAGAAAAAGAGAAAAUUUAAAACAAGGUCAUCACCAGCUCUGUUUGCUUUGUCUUUUGUGGGGGUGAUAUUUGCACAGAAUCAUGAAGGCAACCAUACAUCUGCUGAUGAAAAUGAAGAUGGAACAGGACUAUCUCAGCCCAAAGGACAAGGACAUUUGCCAUCAAGUGGCCUUUGUUCUAUUCCCAACCCCUCUAUCAUCUCUUCAAAAUUGGGUGGCUUUCCUAUCUCCCUAGCAAUGGCCACGGUAAGUAUAGCUUGUCAAUUAAACAUGAAAUGAAACGUAAUCUUCCCAAAACAACAAGGCUGGGGAAUCUUAUCUCCUGCCAUGUGAGAGUAUAUUGAAGAUAAGACUACAGAUGGUUGUUAUUGGUAAAAGGAGAAUAUAAUUAAAAUGACUUAUUUAUGGUAUUCUUCAAGGACACUUGUGGCAGUACAGCCCUUUCCUCCCAAACUCUGAGUCUCUCUUUAUUCACUUCUUCAAUUUGACAGUGAAAUUUGAGGGAGUGAGUUACAUUCAAAUAACUCACUAUAGAAGGUAGGAUAGGACAGACUCUCUAAGUGGCAGACUGUGGAGCGCUGCAAAUGCGUAAGACAAUGUAGAUGUGUAAGAAAGUACCCCACCUGUAUGCAUGCAGGAGGGAGAGAGCUGGGGAAACUUGUCAGGCCAUGUCCUGGGCAGGUAGCUAAUCUCAAGAAAGAAACAGUUUUCUGGGGCUACCAAUUAAUAUGCAGAUUUGAAAAGAACAUGACAUUUCAGGAUCCAAAUCACCAGGAUCUGUAAGCUAUUGGUCCCGGGGACCAUUUGCUCAAUUCAAGACUUCACCAGGGUGGGGGCAAGGGGCUGAGGCAGAGAUCCAGCCAGGAGGCAAAACUAAAGGCAUCUCAUUGGGUCAAAUAGGCCAAAGCUGGAGGUAGUGCCUUGGCAAAUGUCCAAAGGACCAGCUGUCAUGGUCAAAAAGAUGCCAUUGGAAACUUGGGAAGCAGAGGCAAGGGUCAAGCCAAGGUAAAAGUACCAGAGAGGCUGAGAUGCCCCUCCCAUUGGAUUGCCCUCCAGUGUAGCCCUUGAAAUCAUAAUGAAACUCGGGACUUCUCAAGACAAUUUCCCCAUCAUCACCCUAUCUUCUAAACCUCCACAUUACAUCCUAGAAGCUCAGGCAGGGACCUCUACUCAGGGCCUUAAGAAUGAGAGUUGGAAGAGGGACCUUCUUCCUGAGGACAUGCUGUCACACAUGGAUGUUUGUAGAAACAACCCAGGACCAGCCUAGGCAUCUGGGCAAAGACCAGCAACACUGGCCCUGCAGUCAGGCCUGCCAUGUACAUCGAGUUGCACAGUUUGUGCACUGCACACAAGAUCCCAGCUGAGAGGAUGAGUGGGGACUAAAACUUCUUCCGGGGAAACCACAUGAAGCCUAACACAGAGUUUCCGUCUGCUUUUUGAGAAUGAAGGCUGGUGACCCUGACUGCGGUAUUUCCAGCUUCGAUAUAACCUUUCCUUAAGCUCCCCGAGACAGGACACAAUCAGAUGCAGGGACCACACAGCCCCUGGAUUCGUUUUUAUCAUACAAAACCUCCCAGGCUUCACCAAAUAACUUUCUCCACCAUCACACUUGCAGUACAGAUGCACUGGGAGGCCUCACUUGCUCUUUCUCGUUGUCGAAAAUCUAUCUGCCUUGGCCGGGCAUGGUGGCUCACAUCUGGAAUCCCAGCACUUUGGGAGGCUGAGGCAGGGGGAUUGCUUCAG
rnacentral:lncRNA from 1 species